rnacentral:rRNA from 1 species
GAUGAACGCUGGCGGCGUGCCUAAUACAUGCAAGUCGAGCGAACGGACGAGAAGCUUGCUUCUCUGAUGUUAGCGGCGGACGGGUGAGUAACACGUGGAUAACCUACCUAUAAGACUGGGGUAACUUCGGGAAACCGGAGCUAAUACCGGAUAAUAUUUUGAACCGCAUGGUUCAAAAGUGAAAGACGGUCUUGCUGUCACUUAUAGAUGGAUCCGCGCUGCAUUAGCUAGUUGGUAAGGUAACGGCUUACCAAGGCAACGAUGCAUAGCCGACCUGAGAGGGUGAUCGGCCACACUGGAACUGAGACACGGUCCAGACUCCUACGGGAGGCAGCAGUAGGGAAUCUUCCGCAAUGGGCGAAAGCCUGGCGGAGCAACGCCGCGUGAGUGAUGAAGGUCUUCGGAUCGUAAAACUCUGUUAUUAGGGAAGAACAUAUGUGUAAGUAACUGUGCACAUCUUGACGGUACCUAAUCAGAAAGCCACGGCUAACUACGUG